AAGGCAGGAGAAGGGGGAAAGACGUGGUGCUUCUGACUGUUAGUCCUGGUGGUGAGCUGUUAGGCUGUGGCUUUUUUGGUUUAUUCUAAAGAACGAACUUCCUUUACCCGAACUGAAAGCUCAAAGGGAAAAGGGUUUCUUUCUCUUGCUGAAUGCAUGUACAACAACUUUGAUGGAGAAUAUGUUUCUUCGUAGAAGUUCCCGGGCAUGGAAAGAGGCAAACUGAUUGGAGGCCAUCAGUGAGUCCUGCAGUUCAGUGAGGGAAAAUAUAUUUCCCUUCAUGUGGCAAAGCUCUGAGGUGAUGAAUGCCCUUCAAAGGUGAGUGCUUCUAAUUCACAGGCUCACUUUCAUCAUCUUCAAGGGCUUUCAGCUGUCCUUUGUCAUUGCAAACCAUGAAGGUGGAGAUGGAGGUGCUGGGGCAGGAGGAAAGGCAAAGCUUAACCUUGCACAUAUGUAACCUAGAAAUAACAUUAAAAAAAAAAAUCAAAACAGAUGCAUACCUUUUGAAACUACAGUUAAAGUGGAUAAAGGACUUUUUACAAGGUACAUAUAAUAUUUUGCUGGCUGCUACAGAUGGAAGCUGAAAGAGAAAAGAAAAUAAUGCUUGAUAAUAGAAAAAAAUAAUCUAUAUUCCAUGCAAAGAAGGUGUCUGAAAGAAGCAGAGGACAUCACACUGAUAACAACAAAGCAGAGUUAAGAAGACCUGCCUAUAAGGAUCAACGGAAAGAUCCCAAUCCUAAGUAGGUAUCCUAGCGCUAUCAGAAUCUAACCUUUGCUUCCCACAGAUUUUGUGUGAAAACAUGACUGAUACAUCUGACCCUUUUGGAUUUUAAAUUGGAAAGCUGCCCUGAGUCAAGGUUAUUUUGUCUAAUUUUCAGGUUCCCCUGCUGGAGUAUGUAUAGAGGGUUUGUGAACUCCACUCUCACCUGUGUUUGAGCAGGGUGAGCAUAUGGUAAAGAGCUGCUGGCACCAGUCUGAAGCAGCCCUGGUCCCUUCUACAUCAGAUUCUUUGAACUUCCUAGGAAAGGAGGUAGGAGACCAGAUUACAGCUGACUGAUAUUAAACUACAGAUACUUAAGGAAAGGAAGUUUCUGAGAUCAUACUUAGUAGAUGCGCAUGCAUGCACACUUCCACGUGUACCUUUCUCUUCUAUGGCUUGGCUUCAUAUAAAUCUGACAUUGCAAAGAAGAAGCUCCCAGAACCUAUUAAUGAGCAUAACAACAGAGGAGGAAGUGUCCCUUCUGAAGGAAAAAUUACAGUUCCUCACAUACUCACAUCUCAAGCCCUUACCUACUGAACAAUCUGCACAGGAAGAAAACUGUAGCAGUGCUGCAAUAAAGGAUGGAACCCUGAGAACCUCUAGACCCUCUUUGACACUAGAGAAGUCACUCCAGCUAUAUGGCAGUCAGAAAUGUCUCCUGUGGCUCUUAUGUUCCAUGCAGAAAAACCUGCUUUCCUCUGCAAAACAGGAAAUGGUCCAGGACAGAAAAAAGUCUGUGAAUGUUUCAGUUCUUUUGCUCUCCUCCAAUGUCCUUUAUUGCACAGCAGCAGCUCAGCAGCAUCUCCAUGGAGGACUGUCAUGGCAUGACAACCUUCCACUAUGAGAACAGUAAGUCAUGCUUGUACACUGGCCAAAUACAAUGAGAUUUGUUCUCUCCAGAGAUUUCACUUAUGCUGUCUAAUAUGUUAAAUAAUUGCCCCAAACCUGCUGGAAUUACAGCUUGUUUCUGCA